UACCACGUUUUAAAGUUUCUUAAGGGAAACGGAUUGCUAGAUCGUGACCGGGACUACUAUUCUGCAUUCAAGGUGACCGAGAAGGUGUUCGUGGACAAGUACAUAUGCCCUCACAAUGAAGUUGCGCCGCACCUUGUUGAAGACUAUGCCGCCGCUUGCAGAGGGCAAGUGCCAACUAAUUUCAGAUUUGCUUGAACCAAGGACAGGCUAUGAGAAUUGGUUUUAAGCACACACAUUGGAUCUAAGAAAUUGUGAGACCAGACCAUUCUCCAACACAUUAAAUUUUCUACCUUCAGUUUAGUGCAUUGGGACAAUAAGCCAAGUGUCUAUGGCAAGAAUAAGCGUUGGUGUACAGACAAAUCCUUCAGUUUCUGAUCGAGUACUUGAAGGACUCAGAUGGAUCAGUUGUUGGUGAUCGGCAAGCUGAUUGGUCCGUACCUCUGCCACCACUUCUAGUUCCCAUUUCCACCAGUCAGUUUCUCCCUUUCUUUGACCAUAUUUGGUAGUACUAUUAUGAGAUAUCUUUUUCUACACCAUGGGGAAGAAUUAGGAAAUAAGUGUUGUAUGGCUGUAGCUACUGAUUACCUUUUUUAGUCUGGUUAUAGUUUUCUAUAA